rnacentral:rRNA from 1 species
AGAGUUUGAUCCUGGCUCAGAGCGAACGCUGGCGGCACGCUUAACACAUGCAAGUCGAACGAAGGCCCGGAGCUUGCUCCGGUUACCUUAGUGGCGGACGGGUGAGUAACGCGUGGGAAUCUACCUUACGAUGGGGAAUAACAGUUGGAAACGACUGCUAAUACCGCAUACGCCCUUCGGGGGAAAGGCUUAGGCCGUCGUUAGAGGAUCCCGCGUUCGAUUAGCUAGUUGGUAGGGUAAUGGCCUACCAAGGCAACGAUCGAUAGCUGGUCUGAGAGGAUGAUCAGCCACACUGGAACUGAGACACGGUCCAGACUCCUACGGGAGGCAGCAGUGGGGAAUAUUGGACAAUGGGGGAAACCCUGAUCCAGCGAUGCCGCGUGAGUGAAGAAGGCCUUAGGGUUGUAAAACUCUUUCACCCGUGAAGAUGAUGACUGUAGCGGGAGAAGAAGCUCCGGCUAACUCCGUGCCAGCAGCCGCGGUAAUACGGAGGGGGCUAGCGUUGCUCGGAAUUACUGGGCGUAAAGCGCGCGUAGGCGGCGAAUCCAGUCAGGCGUGAAAGCCCAGGGCUUAACCCUGGAAUUGCGUUUGAUACUGAUUUGCUAGAAUUCUAGAGAGGGUAGUGGAAUUUCCAG